UGGCAAAGAAGGGCAUGCUGAUCCUACCGGACAUCAUGGCCAACUCCGGCGGAGUGAUGGUGAGCUGCUUCGAGUGGGCUACUGGGCGUCCAAGAGGCACUUGACCUUGCCGGAUCACGCUGCCAUCGGCGUAAUCCAGGCCGGAUCUGUGGAGAGCCCGGCGCAGCACCGUCACAAAUUGAUAAGGGCCGGAGCUUCAAUGACAAAUCCACUAUAUUCAGCACAUAGCCCAACUCAGCAGGCACGAGCCAUGUCGACAGUCGGGGUGGCACUCGGGUGCAUGCUCGCCUUGACAGUCAUCAAGGUCGCAAUAGAGUCGGUGGAGGUUGUGCUCGGCGACGCUGAGAGAGAGUCUAUCAAGCAUAAGUCCAUGCUGUUGUGGCUGAAGCGACUUAUGGAUGCCGACAUGCUUGAAGAUUUUGAAGAUGAAACCGACCUCAACCUGUGGGCAGCCACGAUGAAGAAGAAUAAGAUGCCACAUAACAUGAGAUCGAUGCAAAAGCGCAUAGAAAAGAUAAAAGAGGACCGUGAGGAGCGGCAAGGUCCCGACAUCCAGGAUACAACAGGAUAUGUGGAGGAGGCAGAAAUCAUCUGGAGGACUGAUGAUUGCAUAUCUUGGAGCAGCAGUUAUUUCCCCCUCCUUUUGACUACAGUGGUUGGAGUCAGUAGGUAGUGAUUAGAGUAAGUAGGAGAGGCUGACAUUUGACAAUACGAUUCUGUGUGUGCAUUGACUGCUGGUGCUGCAGCCUGUAAUUUUUCUUGUGGAGUGGACCGAAGUAAUCCAUCAAGCUAGCUGCAUUAUUGAUUCUGUUCCUUUUGCUGGCGAGGUUUUGCACUAGGUGUACCAGCAGAAGUCUGUGCUUUCCAUGCGUCAAACCCAGGAGUUGAUGAAAACUUGCCAUUGCUUGGUUGCUCUUGUUCCUAAAAUUAGAAGUUGGUCAAUGAACAGAAAUUAUCUCAUAUUAGCAAGGUGAUGGGCCAUAGUUAUCACAUGUCUCCAACUUCGUCCUCCAGCUUGGACAACCUAGGUUGAGUGGCAAUUUUACCCCUUAUGUUUAUCACGUCUUCGGUCACGGCGUUCUAACCAUGAUGCGAAUAGGUGGAUGAAGAGGAAGCAGUACCGUCGUAUCGCACAGGCCAGGUGGGUGGUGGCCGCUGGCUCCGAUUCCCUGGGUGGCUGGGUGUGGCUGGCGGCUCCGAUCGCGCCCGUCAGGAGGGUGGCGUUGGCGUUCGAGCUGACUGCGUGUAGUGUCCACGGAGAGAGUUCGAUGCUGGCGACGAGCAUAGAGAGGCGGAUCACGAUGUUGUGACGGAGAAAAUUUCAGAGAAAACCCAUAAGAUCUCAUGAUGGGUUCAUGCACAGAAUAAGCGGAACCCAUUCUUUGGUUUUAAAUCAUCUCAUGCGUUGCCUUAGUUCUAACUGAUGACAUGAGCUGACAUUCUCACCUUCAAUCCAACGUGUGGAUGCAGAACAAGCAGUGACGUCGUAUUCCGCAGGCUGGAUGGGCGGUCGCCAGCGGCUCCGUUCCCGUGGGUGAGGACGGCGGCUCCGUUACAGCCGGUGAACAGGGCAACGGCGUUCGAUGGGACUGGCGUUGGAGGAGAAGGUCGCGCGUGAGAAGGCGCCUGGACUGGAAUAUGAAUGGAGAAUCGGCGUUGGAGCCGGCUAGGCCAGUUGGAUCGGAGGUUGUUGCAGAUAAUGGGGAGGUGGGAGUGGAGUUUGGGAGGGCCGAUCGUUACGGGUGUGAUAAGUAUUAAUCCAUCGACGAGCCAAAAAUUGGAUGGCGCCUUUAAAGUCGGAAAGAGGUUGAUUGAUGAAACACCAUUUCUUUUGGCACGUCAUUUUUUUGAAUCUGCCACGUCUGUUUUUGGCUUGAGCGCGGGCUUAGGCGAUCUCUUUGGCCAAACUAA